AAACCCCAUCUCUACUAAAAAUGCAAUAAUUAGCCAGGCAGGGUGGCUCACACCUAUAAUCCCAGCCACUUGGGAGGCUGAGGCAGGAGAAGGGCUAGAACCUGGGAGGCAGAGGUUGCAGUGAGCCGAGACAGAGCCACUGCACUCCAGCCUGGGCGACAGAGCAAGACUCUGUCUAAAAACAAACAAACAAUCAAAAAAACACAGUUGCCUCCUGCUGAAUUAUAAAAAUUAAAAACAAAGACAACUCUGCUUUUACUGACGUUGUCAUUAGCAUAGAAUUUCCAAAAAGGGCCUUUUCUUCCUGCCCUUUCUUUGCUUGCCUCCACACCCCGUGCCUGGCUCACUAAUCACACAGGCUGGAGAAGAGGGACAGAGAAAAGCUGCCAACAGCACAGCAGAGCAGAGCCUGCCUCCCUCCAGCUGGGGAUGUCGGUAGCUGAAGUGGAAAGCUGGUCGAAGAAAGAUGUGGAAAGAACGAGGCCUGACUCAGUUCCUGAAAGGAGCUGCCUGACUUUCUGUGAGCCACAGCUUCUAUUCACAAACCCAGGAAGCUGGACGACGUACUGAAAGGAUUUCCUAAGAUAAGGAGAGCUCGCAGCAGGUACGAAGCAAAGCUCGGUGGAAAUGGCAGGUAGAAAAGCUUUCCUGACUGCUUUCUGCUUUGCACAGACUAAGGACUAUAGGACAAUUUCAAGAGGCUGACAUUUUAUGAAUUGAAGGCGUGAAAGACGACGAACAAAUCCCUGUGAGCUGCACGGGUGUCUUGGUCACAGGGGCAGUUAGUGUGGUAACGUACGGAGGCGGCUGGGCUCCGGGCUUGCUCCAGCCGCUCAGCCUCCACCCUGCCCACACCCACCAAAGAAGUGGCUUUGCUGAGAGUGGAGGACGAGCUUCGACACGGAAAGCAGGUGUCCAGGUGAGCAAGCGCUCCCUCGGGGAGACGGGAAUUGUGCUUGGGGACUCUAGACUUAGGAAGUUAAGGAAAAGGGAGAGAUUUCCCAGUGAGGAAUAAAGGUUCAUGGCCCAGGCUGUGUUCACCCCAUGGCACCCCUCAGGAACCAGGGCGGUUUGAGUGUCCCCUGUUGGCUCAGUUUGUGCCGUGGCUGCAGAGAUGAACUAUGGAGUAUGAAGAACACCAGCCCUGCGUUUUAAUUGGGAC
rnacentral:lncRNA from 1 species